UGAGGAAUUUUCCGCAAUGGGCGAAAGCCUGACGGAGCGACGCCGCGUGAGGGAUGACAGCCUUCGGGUUGUAAACCUCUUUUGUUGGGGAAAAAGGUGUUUAUGCUCAUACCAUAGACAUUUGAUGGUACUCAGCGAAUAAGCCCCGGCUAACUACGUGCCAGCAGCCGCGGUAAUACGUAGGGGGCGAGCGUUGUCCGGAUUUACUGGGCGUAAAGCGUGCGCAGGCGGCUGUGUAAGUCAGAUGUGAAAGCCCCGGGCUCAACCUGGGAACGGCAUUUGAGACUGCACGGCUAGAGUGUGGCAGAGGGGGGUGGAAUUCCACGUGUAGCAGUGAAAUGCGUAGAGAUGUGGAGGAACACCGAUGGCGAAGGCAGCCCCCUGGGAUAACACUGACGCUCAUGCACGAAAGCGUGGGGAGCAAACAGG
rnacentral:rRNA from 1 species